rnacentral:misc_RNA from 1 species
GCCUUACAGUAAAAAUUCAGCAUCAACCUCAGAAUAGAUCUCACAAGAGACAUUAAAAUAUUGUUUUGUUACACAAAUCCAUUCAAAAUACAAGCUACCGACUGCAGCACAGAUAAAUAGGCAAUAAUUAAUUAACUACCACCAACUAUACAUCUGUGUAACGCUCCAUUUGUUCAGCUUAAUACACACAAAGUCAUCGUAUCACACAAAGAUUAUUCCAGGAUAUACAUUUCGAAACAGCCCCAGGAAUCUUCACUCUUUCAGGCUGUUCGAUAAUGCAAGCUGCUUGUUUGCUCAUCAUGGCAAAACCAACUUCUGCAAAGCUUGCAUUAAGACGAAAAUAAUCCGAUUAACAGCUUCUUUAACUUUAAAAAGGAAUCACGCUGCACUAAAGCAGUUUUCCCAUGUUCCAUAUUUUGA